UCGAGGAUCUUCGGCAAUGGGCGCAAGCCUGACCGAGCGACGCCGCGUGUGCGAUGAAGGCCUUCGGGUUGUAAAGCACUGUCGAGGGGGAGAAAAGCCCGCAAGGGUCUGAUCUAUCCCUGGAGGAAGCACGGGCUAAGUUCGUGCCAGCAGCCGCGGUAAGACGAACCGUGCGAACGUUGUUCGGAUUCACUGGGCUUAAAGGGCGCGUAGGCGGACGGUCAAGUCGGGGGUGAAAUCUUUCAGCUUAACUGGAAACGUGCCUCCGAUACUGAUCGUCUCGAGGGAGGCAGGGGCAUGCGGAACUUCCGGUGGAGCGGUGAAAUGCGUAGAUAUCGGAAGGAACGCCGGUGGCGAAAGCGGCGUGCUGGACCUCUUCUGACGCUGAGGCGCGAAAGCUAGGGGAGCGAACGGGAUUAGAUACCCCCGUAGUCC
rnacentral:rRNA from 1 species